rnacentral:tRNA from 2 species
GGUUCCGUAGCUCAGUUGGAUAGAGCAACAGCCUUCUAAGCUGUGGGUCGUGGGUUCGAACCCCGCCGGAAUCA